rnacentral:pre_miRNA from 1 species
AAAAAGAGAAACUCUAAGUUUCCAUUUCCACCGUUUGACUGUCCAUCUUAUAAGAAUUUUUUUUUAUAGUUAGUAUUUUCAUUGUUGUUUACUUUAUGCGUGACUUAUCUUUUUAAUUUUUUUAUAUUUUUUUUAAAUAAGACAAAUGGUCAAACGUUGAACAUUGAAACAUAGUGUUUAUCUUUUU